GCCUUGCAUGCAGGAGGCAAUGGGUUUGAUCCUCAACACCACAUAAAAAAUAAAGGUAUUGUGUCCACCUAUAACUAAAAACAUAAAAACAAUAUUUUAAAAAAUAAACCAGCAGCAAUACCCAUUCUAUCUCCUAAAUGCUGUGCCGCCUUAAAUUUCUUCCAUCACACUGAUUAGUUCAUUAUCCUUAAACUCAGCCUCACUGAAAGUCUCAAGACACUGGCAAAGUAUAAACAAGUUCUUUACUAGAAUGUAACCCCAAUGGCUUCUAUCCAAUUCCCAGUAGAGUCGUCAUUCCCAUCUGAAACGUCGUGAGGAUGGUUUUCUCAUUCCUAUUGGUGUUUCUGACCUUCCCAGUUCACAUCAAAAUCAUGCAUUGAGCGCUGCUUAGACAUUCUAGGUCUUCUUCAUCCUCAUCUCCAAACCUUUCCAAACUCCUCCCAGGUAUUAGUUCCAAAGGCUUCUGAACCAUAUUGUCAGGUACAGUCACAGCAACAGCCCAGCUCCUGGUAUGAGUUUCCUAUGUUAGUGACCUUUCCAUUGCUGUGACAAAAUACUCAAGGAAAACAAAGGAGAAAAGGCUUAUUUUGGUUCAUGCUUUCAGAGGUUUCAGUCCAUGCUCACUUGGCUCUCGUUUCUAGGCUGUGGUGAGGCACAACAUUAUGGUGGGGAGCGGUGGAGCAGAGCUGUUCAUGGCAGCCAGGAAGCAGGGAAAGAGAAAUAAACCCUUCAACACCACCCCGUCCCUUGAGCUACUUCCUCCAACAAGGCUAUACCUCCUGAAGUUCCCACCACCUCCCAGUGGUGCCGCCAGCUGGGACUAAGUCUUCAACACAUGGGCCUUUGGAGGGCAUUCCAGAUCCAAGUGCUAUUGUUUUUUGUUUUUUUUUUUCUCUCCCCUUAAAGGUAGUUUUACUAUUUGGAUAGAAAUCUAAGACUGGGAUUUUAAGUUUAAUACAAUUUGUUAAAACCCAGUUAGCUAAGGGCUAAUACUGAAGUCAACUAGGGUGGUAUGGAGAUGCCUCUGUCAACUUAAAAAGAUAUUUAAUACACUUCUGCCUGGCCCUUGCUCCCAUUAAAUAGCUUAUGAAUAUUAUUUAUGAUCCGUUUUUACUUUUUCUUAUAACUAUUAAAAAUUGUGUCAAGUCAUCCCCUUGCCCUUGAAUAAGCUCGUUGCGAGGAGUACCCCUUGGAAGAGUGAUGGAUGACCAAUCAACAGCUGUAAACCUGUCAUCCACAUCAGCAGUAUGGAGGAAGUUCGCAUGUGCUCUGACUUGACAGUUGGUGACAAGCUGUCCAGUGCACAGGUUCUGAUUCUUCUUGUAGUUCUCGGCGGACACAACAUCUUUGUUGGUAUGUGGUGCUGAGGAUCGAACCCGGGCCGCACGCAUGCCAGACGAGCGCGCUACCGCCUGAGCCACAUUCCCAGCCCGCUAACAAAUAAUUUUAGAGAAGCAGAAUGAAGGUUUUUGAUCGAAGAAGAUUGAGGAUUGAAGGGAAGAGUUGAACAGAAGAGUAAAUCAUUCCUGAAACGGACUCGAGGUCUCACCUACAUCUCCUGGAUUCGGUUCUGAGGCCAAAGAGUGGCCUCUCCCAUUCUUGCCUCAUGGGAUGCGCAGCUGCUGACCCAUUGCCAAGGCCACCUGGGCAACACAUUUUAGGUGCAGCUGCAACUUUGACGAAUCUUUUCCCUUCUCACUUGGUGCAUACUCCUUAUCUCUCGAGGUGGAUCAUUCCUAUCACCAUAUAGAUACAUUCGAAUAUUUCCCUUCUCCAAACAAAUCAAAACGAAAUCAGUUUCCCUGAUGCUUCUCCAGCUGUCACCCAUUUAUUUGUUCCCCUUUGUGGCAAAACUUCACCACAGAGCUCUCUGUGCUCACUAUCUCCAACUCUGCUUCUCAUUAAACCCUUUCAUUAUAACAUAUA